rnacentral:rRNA from 1 species
CCCCGGGCUCAACCUGGGAACUGCGUUNUGAACUGGGUGACUAGAGUGUGUCAGAGGGAGGUAGAAUUNCACGUGUAGCAGUGAAAUGCGUAGAGAUGUGGAGGAAUACCGAUGGCGAAGGCAGCCUCCUGGGAUAACACUGACGUUCAUGCCCGAAAGCGUGGGUAGCAAACAGGAUUAGAUACCCUGGUAGUCCACGCCCUAAACGAUGUCGAUUAGCUGUUGGGCAGCAUGACUGCUUAGUAGCGAAGCUAACGCGUGAAAUCGACCGCCUGGGGAGUACGGUCGCAAGAUUAAAACUCAAAGGAAUUGACGGGGACCCGCACAAGCGGUGGAUGAUGUGGAUUGAUUCGAUGCAACGCGAAGAACCUUACCUGGUCUUGACAUGUACGGAACCCUCCAGAGACGGAGGGGUGCCUUCGGGAGCCGUAACACAGGUGCUGCAUGGCUGUCGUCAGCUCGUGUCGUGAGAUGUUGGGUUAAGUCCCGCAACGAGCGCAACCCUUGUCAUUAGUUGCCAUCAUUAAGUUGGGCACUCUAAUGAGACUGCCGGUGACAAGCCGGAGGAAGGUGGGGAUGACGUCAAGUCCUCAUGGCCCUUAUGACCAGGGCUUCACACGUCAUACAAUGGUCGGUACAGAGGGUAGCCAAGCCGCGAGGUGGAGCCAAUCUCACAAAACCGAUCGUAGUCCGGAUUGCACUCUGCAACUCGAGUGCAUGAAGUCGGAAUCGCUAGUAAUCGCAGGUCAGCAUACUGCGGUGAAUACGUUCCCGGGUCUUGUACACACCGCCCGUCACACCAUGGGAGUGGGGGAUACCAGAAGUGGGUAGGGUAACCGCAAGGAGCCCGC